rnacentral:tRNA from 1 species
GGGUGAUUAGCUCAUUUGGCUAGAGCGCCUCAUUGACGUUGAGGAGGUGACAGGUUCAAAUCCUGUAUCACCCACCA